rnacentral:lncRNA from 1 species
AAGCUAAACGGUUUACUGCACCUAUGGGCAGUCCUUGGGUUCCCUGAAUUUUUCUCCAGGAACUGAAAUGCGCUUAUAGUACCUACAAAUAUUCCAAAUAAGCCCAAAAUUAGUCUCAGGGCCCACUCAGCCAAUUUCAAAAAUCCGAUAAGGCGACUCCGUCGUACUUCGGCGAUAGUGGCUCCGCCGUGCUCCAACGACGGCGCCGCUUCCCGUGUUGGCAAUCUGCCUCGGAUCGGCCGAAUUUAGCCGAUUUUACAUCGAUUUCUGCUAGCACACAUGCUAUAGGGCAUCGGUAAGCCGAAAAAAUACGAAAAAUUGAAACUCACCGGUGGCGGGGCUCUCCGAUGCGGCGGUUCCUCCGGCUCACGUUAUAGUUGGGUGUUUUGCUUCGGUCAACCUGUAAAGAAAAAAACGAUGAUCACAAUGGUAG